rnacentral:lncRNA from 1 species
GCGGCAGAAAUUAGAAAACCAAAGGCUGAGACAAGAGGAACCGGAGAAGGAAAGGAAGAGGAAGGAGGAGGUAGAGAGACUUAAAGAGCUGGAGAGAUUACUGCUCUUGGAGUUUGAAAAGCAAAAACAGGCAGAGAGUAAGACACAACAAAUUCAGGAGCUCGAAAAACAGAGGCAACUAGACAUGGAGCGACAGAAAUUAGAAAACCAGAGGCUAAGACAACAGGAACUGGAGAAGGAAAGGAAGAGGAAGGAGGAGGUUGAGAGACUUAAAGAGCUUGAGAGAUUACAGCUCUUGGAGGUUGAAAAGCAAAAACAGGCAGAGAGUAAGACACAACAAAUUCAGGAGCUCGAAUAACAGAGGCAACUAGACAUUGAGCGACAGGAAUUAGAAAACCAGGGGCUGAGGCAACAGGAGCUGGAGAAGGAAAGGAAGAGGAAGGAGGAGGUUGAGAGACUUAAAGAGCUUGAGAGAUUACAGCUCUUGGAGGUUGAAAAGCAAAAACAGGCAGAGAGUAAGACACAACAAAUUCAGGAGCUCGAAUAACAGAGGCAACUAGACAUUGAGCGACAGGAAUUAGAAAACCAGGGGCUGAGGCAACAGGAGCUGGAGAAGGAAAGGAAGAGGAAGGAGGAGGUUGAGAGACUUAAAGAGCUUGAGAGAUUACAGCUCUUGGAGUACGAAAAGCAAAAGCAGGCAGAGAGGGAAAGACAACAAAUUGCGGAGUUUGAGAAACACAGACUGAGGGAAAAGAUGGAAAGGGAGGAGGCAGAACGGAUGCGAGUCAUAGCCAAGCAACAAGAAGCAGAGAGACAGCGACUAAAAGAGAAGCAGAAAAAAGAGGAGCAAGAGAGGCUAAAGUUGGAGCCAUCACCUCUGAAACCCAAAGUUCUUGAUCUGGACUCUGUGCUCAGAAAUGAACCAAUGUCUAAGUCUACUUCUCAACGCAGCGAUGCUGCAACCCGCUGGAAGGAGCCUUACAAGCCUACCAUUCUUGACAUAGACUCCUUUACAUCUCAAGCUCAGCUCUCCUCUAAUAAUGACUUGUUUCCUUCAUUGGGAAUGCAGGGACUAAAUGCUGACUUUGGGGGUAAAUUACAGCCUACACCUGAAAGUGACUUUAGCUGGAAGAUACCACCACAGACUUCAGUAGGUUUCUCAAACCCAGUAUGGACGACGCCUCCUCAGGACCCCUGGGAGCUGCAGUCAGUUGAGAUGUCUGUGGACCAGCCUAAGACUGAAUCUAGAAAACACGCCAACAAACACAGUCCAGAACAGCUCCUUCUCGAUCAUGGGGAACGCAUCCCAACUCGACAAAGGCCUUGGUCUGCUUUCCUGGAUGAGUCACCCCCUUUGGGCCCUUUUCCUGGUUCAGAGGUUAAACGUGUGAACUCCCCAGGUGGACUCCCCACCAUCACUCCUGCAGAGCAGAUCUGGUUGCCUAGAGAGCUACAGCCACAGAAGAUCAGGGGAGAAGCACAGGGCCAGAGGAGAUCACAGGGGUCCAAGGAGUUGAACAGGUUGCGGUCUCGGAGUGUGUCACGACGAUCGGCUCCUGCAGGUAGUGCCAUGGAUGGAAGCCUUUCCAGGAUGAGGAGUCGCAGCGCCCACAGAGAACAGGACCUGCAGAGCAGGGUGAGUCAGGCUGCUGCUCAUUUUCUGCAGCAUUUUAUUACAAAUCACUGUUUUCACUCAGCUCU